rnacentral:tRNA from 1 species
AGGAGUGUGGCUUAGUGGUAGAGUGCUUGCCUUGCAUGCAUGAAACCCUGGGUCCGAUUCCUCAGUACUG